rnacentral:rRNA from 1 species
GACGAACGCUGGCGGCGUGCUUAACACAUGCAAGUCGAACGGAAAGGCCCUGCUUUUGUGGGGUGCUCGAGUGGCGAACGGGUGAGUAACACGUGAGUAACCUGCCCUUGACUUUGGGAUAACUUCAGGAAACUGGGGCUAAUACCGGAUAGGAUCUCCUGCUGCAUGGUGGGGGGUGGAAAGUUUCGGCGGUUGGGGAUGGACUCGCGGCUUAUCAGCUUGUUGGUGGGGUAGUGGCUUACCAAGGCUUUGACGGGUAGCCGGCCUGAGAGGGUGACCGGGCACAUUGGGACUGCGGUAGGGCCCAGACUCCUACGGGAGGCAGCAGUGGGGAAUAUUGCCCAAUGGGCGGAAGCCUGAUGCAGCAACGCCGCGUGCGGGAUGACGGCCUUCGGGUUGUAAACCGCUUUCGCCUGUGACGAAGCGUGAGUGACGGUAAUGGGUAAAGAAGCACCGGCUAACUACGUG